UCUUUGUAGACAGAGUAGAAACAUUAGGCAUCGUAAAUAUGAGAAUAGUGGUAGAGUGCGCAAUUGAGCAUCUUUCAACUUAAAAUCAAGGGACUAAAGCCUUCCGUCAUAGCCACAUCCAUCCGCAUCCCACAGCUCUCCAUAACAUCGUCCAGGAUGUAUCGCCAUCAAGUGACAGGGCUGGCACGAGGAUACCAGUAUGCCAAAAAAUCUUGAUACAUCUACCACGUUCCAAGAACAAGACCUUGGUGAAAGGGUUGCUGGGGGUGCUGGAGGCUAUCUCAGCAGGGAAAGGGAACAACGAGGCACAAGAGAGAGCUAUACCAGAAAGAAACCGAAGAACAGCCGAAAUUAUUACUGGUGCAUUGCUGGAGAUCUACAGAUGGCAGCACAACCCCAUAGGAGACAACGUCAUAAAUCAGCCUGCUAAUUCCAAUCACAAUUUCCUCAGAAAUAAUAAAACGUAGCAUGUCGUUCAAGAACUACCAGUAUGAAUAAAAUCAUUUUGUUGUCAGACUGAUGAACUACACUAUAAACACAUAAGGUCAUGGCAAAGAUGAAGAACACCCCCAGAAACCACAUACCACAGAUUCCAUUGUGUCAUAAUUUAUUAGACAAGGAUGAAGAUAAAAUGUAAAACUUUUUUUUUUCUUUAAGUAGGAACAACAAAAAAGGCUAGAGAUGCCUAAAACAUAGCUCUCAGAUCUCAUAUUGAGAACCCUGUUGAAGUAGUAUAUUGCCUCUGUAUGCAUGCUUGGCUAUAUAUAACAAGCUGAAAUCUUUUGAAAUUGUUUUUUUUGUUUGUUUUACAUUAUGAGACUGACAUUUCACAAUAACUUGUUUGUGCUAGUAAGAUUAACAUUGAAUAUUUAUUUUUAGGUGUCGAUUUCAACUAAACCUGAUAUGAUUACAUACAUUUUAGUUAACCAAGGGGAGUACCUGUUCAACAGUUGCUUUCAUUAGAUAAUAAUUUUCUCUCCUUUAAAAGGUCAGUAACCAAAAUGUAUCAUAAUAUGUUUCACCUAAAGAUGCCAAGAAGUCUUUCCCUCUGGCCUUUUUCUUUCUUCUUUAGCUCUAAUUUUAAUUAGCUUGCUGACUCUGUACUUGUGAAUUCUGCAGUUUAUUGUUAAUGUAAGAUCCAGGUGACAAUAGCUCAAGGGCAUCACCAGAGACUUACCAGAAACUUGAGCAGAGUAUGAUUAGUCCUGAAAGCACGGCUGCAAUUCCUUUUAAUGUGAAAAAGCAAAGAGUGCAUGACUUCCAGAAUUAGCAAAACAACAUAUAUUCUAAUUUAAACUGAAAUAUGCUUUCAGGAAAUUCUGCAGUUGUGUGUCAAACACAGUCGAAUGAAAACUUUACUAUGUUCAACAAUGAAAGUGCACUACAUAAAAAUACCAAAUAAGUUUUGUUUUGUUGUUUUUUUAACCCUUGGAAGUGACAAAAUUUUCAUAUGUUUUAACCUCAAAUAUAUAUAGGUUAUACAGUACAGACCAAA